rnacentral:rRNA from 1 species
AGGACGAACGCUGGCGGCGUGCUUAACACAUGCAGGUCACGGGGGGUAGCAAUACCAACCGGCGAACGGGUGCGUAACACGUGAGCAACCUACCGAUUUGUGGGGGAUAGCUGGCCUAACGGCCAGGUAAUACCGCAUAUGAUGAUCGGCCCGCAUGGGCCGAUCAUCAAAGCCUUUGGGCGCAAAUCGAGGGGCUCGCGUCCUAUCAGCUAGUUGGCGAGGUCAUGGCUCACCAAGGCGACGACGGGUAGC